rnacentral:rRNA from 1 species
GUUAUCUGAUCCUCUUUUAGAGGUGACGAUAAUGGAAUGAGCGGCGGACGGGUGAGUAACACGUAGGCAACCUGCCUGUAAGACUGGGAUAACUCGUGGAAACGCGAGCUAAUACCGGAUAACACUUUUCAUCUCCUGAUGAGAAGUUGAAAGGCGGCUUUUGCUGUCACUUACAGAUGGGCCUGCGGCGCAUUAGCUAGUUGGUAAGGUAAUGGCUUACCAAGGCGACGAUGCGUAGCCGACCUGAGAGGGUGAUCGGCCACACUGGGACUGAGACACGGCCCAGACUCCUACGGGAGGCAGCAGUAGGGAAUCUUCCGCAAUGGACGAAAGUCUGACGGAGCAACGCCGCGUGAGUGAUGAAGGUUUUCGGAUCGUAAAACUCUGUUGUUAGGGAAGAACAAGUGCCAUAGUAACUGAUGGCACCUUGACGGUACCUAACCAGAAAGCCACGGCUAACUACGUGCCAGCAGCCGCGGUAAUACGUAGGUGGCAAGCGUUGUCCGGAAUUAUUGGGCGUAAAGCGCUCGCAGGCGGUUCUUUAAGUCUGAUGUGAAAUCUUACGGCUCAACCGUAAACGUGCAUUGGAAACUGGGGAACUUGAGUGCAGAAGAGGAGAGUGGAAUUCCACGUGUAGCGGUGAAAUGCGUAGAGAUGUGGAGGAACACCAGUGGCGAAGGCGACUCUCUGGUCUGUAACUGACGCUGAGGAGCGAAAGCGUGGGGAGCGAACAGGAUUAGAUACCCUGGUAGUCCACGCCGUAAACGAUGAGUGCUAGGUGUUAGGGGGUUUCCGCCCCUUAGUGCUGAAGUUAACGCAU